rnacentral:rRNA from 1 species
AGAUUGAACGCUGGCGGCAUGCCUAACACAUGCAAGUCGAACGGGAGUAGCAAUACUCUAGUGGCGGACGGGUGAGGAAUACGUAGGAAUUUGCCCUUAAGUGGGGGAUAACCCGGGGAAACCCGGAUUAAUACCGCAUGACCUCGAAAGAGCAAAGUGGGGGAUCGCAAGACCUCACGCUUUUGGAGAAGCCUACGUCGGAUUAGCUAGUUGGUGAGGUAAUGGCUCACCAAGGCGACGAUCCGUAAACUGGUCUGAGAGGAUGAUCAGUCACACCGGAACUGAGACACGGUCCGGACUCCUACGGGAGGCAGCAGUGGGGAAUAGUUGGACAAGUGGGCGCAAGCUGAAUCCAGACAAUGCCGCGUGUGUAGAAGGAAGGCCUUACGGUUGGUAAAGCUAACGUUUAAGGUUAGGGAAAGUAAAAAACGUCGUACUACUAACGUAC